rnacentral:rRNA from 1 species
CAAGGCUUGACAUGCAGGGCUAAUCCGGCAGAGAUGUCGGGUCCGCAAGGGAUCUUGCACAGGUGGUGCAUGGUUGUCGUCAGCUCGUGUCGUGAGAUGUUGGGUUAAGUCCCGCAACGAUCGCAACCCUCGUCCUAUGUUGCCAGCACGUCAUGGUGGGGACUCAUAGGAGACUGCCGGGGUCAACUCGGAGGAAGGUGGGGAUGACGUCAAAUCAUCAUGCCCCUUAUGUCUUGGGCUUCACGCAUGCUACAAUGGCCAGUACAAAGGGCUGCGAGACCGUGAGGUGGAGCGAAUCCCAAAAAGCUGGUCUCAGUUCGGAUCGGGGUCUGCAACUCGACCCCGUGAAGUCGGAGUCGCUAGUAAUCGCAGAUCAGCAACGCUGCGGUGAAUACGUUCCC